UACGAAGGGUGCAAGCGUUACUCGGAAUUACUGGGCGUAAAGCGUGCGUAGGUGGUUUGUUAAGUCUGUUGUGAAAGCCCCGGGCUCAACCUGGGAAUGGCAAUGGAUACUGGCAAGCUAGAGUGCGGUAGAGGGUAGUGGAAUUCCCGGUGUAGCGGUGAAAUGCGUUGAUAUCAGGAGGAACACCCAUGGCGAAGGCAGCAUACUGGCCGACCACUGACGCUGAGGCGCGAAAGCGUGGGGUAGCAAACAGG
rnacentral:rRNA from 1 species